rnacentral:misc_RNA from 1 species
GAUGAAGAACGUAGCGAAAUGCGAUAAGUAGUGUGAAUUGCAGAAUUCAGUGAAUCAUCGAAUCUUUGAACGCACAUUGCGCCCCCUGGUAUUCCGGGGGGCAUGCCUGUUCCAGCGUCAUUUCACCACUCAAGCCUCGCUUGGUAUUGGGCAUCGCGGUCCGCCGCGUGCCUCAAAUCGACCGGCUGGGUCUUCUGUCCCCUAAGCGUUGUGGAAACUAUUCGCUAAAGGGUGUUCGGGAGGCUACGCCGUAAAACAACCCCAUUUCUAAGGUUGACCUCGGAUCAGGUAGGGAUACCCGCUGAACUUAAGCAUAUCAAUAAGCGGAGGA